UCCACAUUGAAAUCGGGUUUCGUUAACAGCGGGCUGUUAUGAAUAAAUCAACAAGUUCGUUGUCGACGAAACCUGCAUGCUGUGUGGAG
rnacentral:pre_miRNA from 2 species